rnacentral:rRNA from 1 species
UGGGGAAUAUUGCACAAUGGGCGCAAGCCUGAUGCAGCCAUGCCGCGUGUGUGAAGAAGGCCUUCGGGUUGUAAAGCACUUUCAGCGAGGAGGAAGGUGGUGAGCUUAAUACGCUCAUCAAUUGACGUUACUCGCAGAAGAAGCACCGGCUAACUCCGUGCCAGCAGCCGCGGUAAUACGGAGGGUGCAAGCGUUAAUCGGAAUUACUGGGCGUAAAGCGCACGCAGGCGGUUUGUUAAGUCAGAUGUGAAAUCCCCCGGGGCUCAACCUGGGAACUGCAUUUGAAACUGGCAAGCUAGAGUCUCGUAGAGGGGGGUAGAAUUCCAGGUGUAGCGGUGAAAUGCGUAGAGAUCUGGAGGAAUACCGGUGGCGAAGGCGGCCCCCUGGACGAAGACUGACGCUCAGGUGCGAAAGCGUGGGGAGCAAACAGAUUAGAUACCCUGGUAGUCCACGCUGUAAACGAUGUCGAUUUUGGAGGUUGUGCCCCUUGAGGCGUGGNUUCCGGAGCUAACG